rnacentral:rRNA from 2 species
AAAUUGAAGAGUUUGAUCAUGGCUCAGAUUGAACGCUGGCGGCAGGCCUAACACAUGCAAGUCGAACGGUAACAGGAAGCAGCUUGCUGCUUUGCUGACGAGUGGCGGACGGGUGAGUAAUGUCUGGGAAACUGCCUGAUGGAGGGGGGAUAACUACUGGAAACGGUGGCUAAUACCGCAUAACGUCGCAAGACCAAAGAGGGGGACC